GGCCUACCAUGGUGGUAACGGGUAACGGGGUGUUAGGGCACGACACCGGAGAGGGAGCCUGAGAAACGGCUACCACAUCCAAGGAUGGCAGCAGGCGCGCAAAUUACCCAAUCCCGACACGGGGAGGUAGUGACAAUAAAUAACAAUACGGGGUCCUUUCGGGUUUCGUAAUUGGAAUGAGUACAAUUUAAAUCUCUUAACGAGGAACAAUUGGAGGGCAAGUCUGGUGCCAGCAGCCGCGGUAAUUCCAGCUCCAAUAGCGUAUAUUAAAGUUGUUGCAGUUAAAAAGCUCGUAGUUGAAUUUCGGGAUUAGUACGUUGGUCGUGCCUUCGGUACGUACUGGUGUUACUGAUUCCUACCUUCUGACGAACCAUCAUGUCAUUAAUUUGGUGUGGCGGGGAAUCAGGACUGUUACUUUGAAAAAAUUAGAGUGUUUAAAGCAGGCUCGCGCUUGAAUACAUUAGCAUGGAAUAAUGAAAUAGGACGUUGACCCUAUUUUGUUGGUUUCUAGGAUUGACGUAAUGAUUAAUAGGGAUAGUUGGGGGCAUUAGUAUUCAAUUGUCAGAGGUGAAAUUCUUGGAUUUAUUGAAGACUAACUACUGCGAAAGCAUUUGCCAAGGAUGUUUUCAUUAAUCAAGAACGAAAGUUAGGGGAUCGAAGACGAUCAGAUACCGUCGUAGUCUUAACCAUAAACUAUGCCGACUAGGGAUCGGAUGAUGUUAUUUUUAAUGACUCAUUCGCGCCUUACG
rnacentral:rRNA from 1 species